rnacentral:lncRNA from 1 species
UCUGGUAAAUAGCAACUCACAUUUAUAUUUUACUUUCAUCUGAGGCCUCACCUCAUUUCACACUCUCUUUUUCAAGAGGAAUUAGGAAUUACGUAACUCUGAAAGCAAAAAAUCUCAAAAUUAUGACAGGUGGUACAGAUAUUUAUUUUCUCAGAGCAGAGUUUGGGCCUAGGCCACGGCUGCCCCUGUAGCUCCCCUCUUGUAAGAGAUGCAAAGCUUACUUCUGGGGCACACCCAUCUCCAGCUGGAGGUGCAAGCAAAGGCCACUGUGUAAGGAGGCAAAACUCUCCCUUACUGCCUGAAGGAUCUCCAACAAGCAUAUUCUGGAGAGCUCUGACAGGGAGCAUUUUACAAGGUCCCACUGGAGCUGAGGCUUGAGGUCAGGUCCAAGUGCAGGCCUCCUUCCCAUCACAGCUUCCGAGCCUUCCUGGGGCGGCAGCCGUUGUGUGGGAUUGGGGUGUUGUCUGUGAUUGAGAUCACUUCCAGGCCGCCCAUGAUCAGUCCGUGCAUGGCAGAC